rnacentral:rRNA from 1 species
CUACGGGCUGCUCCAGUGAGGAAUAUUGCACAAUGGGGGGAACCCUGAUGCAGCAACGCCGCGUGGAGGAUGACGCAUUUCGGUGUGUAAACUCCUUUUAUAUGUCAAGAAAAUGACGGUAGCAUAUGAAUAAGCACCGGCUAACUCCGUGCCAGCAGCCGCGGUAAUACGGAGGGGUGCAAGCGUUACUCGGAAUCACUGGGCGUAAAGGACGCGUAGGCGGGUUGGAAAGUCAGGUGUGAAAUCCUACAGCUUAACUGUAGAACUGCACUUGAAACUUCUAAUCUAGAGUAUGGGAGGGGGAGAUGGAAUUAGUGGUGUAGGGGUAAAAUCCGUAGAUAUCACUAGGAAUACCUAAAGCGAAGGCGAUCUCCUGGAACAUUACUGACGCUAAGGCGUGAAAGCGUGGGGAGCAAACAGGAUUAGAUACCCUAGUAGUC